AGCAGUAGCCGCGGUAACACGAAGGGUGCAAGCGUUAAUCGGAAUUACUGGGCGUAAAGCGUGCGUAGGCGGUGAGUUAAGUCUGCUGUGAAAUCCCCGGGCUCAACCUGGGAAUGGCAGUGGAUACUGGCUCGCUAGAGUGUGUCAGAGGAUGGUGGAAUUCCCGGUGUAGCGGUGAAAUGCGUAGAGAUCGGGAGGAACAUCAGUGGCGAAGGCGGCCAUCUGGGACAACACUGACGCUGAGGCACGAAAGCGUGGGGAGCAAACAGGAUUAGAUACCCGCGUAGUCCCUGUCUCUUAUAC
rnacentral:rRNA from 1 species